GGGAGCGGAUGGGGCCUGGUGGCUUCAGCAGUCUUCAAAACUGCCUAGGGGGCGCUAUGCCGUCCUCGGUGGGUUCGAUUCCUACACGCUCCC
rnacentral:tRNA from 1 species